rnacentral:rRNA from 1 species
AUUGAACGCUGGCGGCAUGCUUUACACAUGCAAGUCGAACGGCAGCACGGGGGCAACCCUGGUGGCGAGUGGCGAACGGGUGAGUAAUGCAUCGGAACGUAUCUUCAAGUGGGGGAUAACGCAUCGAAAGAUGCGCUAAUACCGCAUAAUCUCUGAGGAGAAAAGCAGGGGAUCGCAAGACCUUGCGCUUCUGGAGCGGCCGAUGUCGAUUAGCUAGUUGGUGGGGUAAGGCUUACCAAGGCUUCGAUCAGUAGCUGGUCUGAGAGGACGACCAGCCACACUGGGACU